rnacentral:rRNA from 1 species
CCUACGGGGCGCUGCAGUGAGGAAUAUUGGUCAAUGGACGAGAGUCUGAACCAGCCAAGUAGCGUGAAGGAUGACUGCCCUAUGGGUUGUAAACUUCUUUUAUAUGGGAAUAAAACGUUCCACGUGUGGGAUUUUGUAUGUACCAUAUGAAUAAGGAUCGGCUAACUCCGUGCCAGCAGCCGCGGUAAUACGGAGGAUCCGAGCGUUAUCCGGAUUUAUUGGGUUUAAAGGGAGCGUAGGUGGAUUGUUAAGUCAGUUGUGAAAGUUUGCGGCUCAACCGUAAAAUUGCAGUUGAAACUGGCAGUCUUGAGUACAGUAGAGGUGGGCGGAAUUCGUGGUGUAGCGGUGAAAUGCUUAGAUAUCACGAAGAACUCCGAUUGCGAAGGCAGUUCACUGGACUGCAACUGACACUGAGGCUCGAAAGUGUGGGUAUCAAACAGGAUUAGAUACCCUGGUAGUC